CAGUUGGACUUGAGCGGUCGCCAUGGUGGUAUCGGGGACUCGGCCGGCAUCGUCGUUGGGUGUCGAAUUAUGUGUUUCGUUGUGCUAGAUAUUGCCAAUUUGCUUUGAUAUUUGAUAGAUAACGUUGGCUCAUUCUUUGGUGACCUUGCAUACUAAUACGACGAUAUUUUGAUACCGAUUAUUAUGCAUCAAACAUCAUGAGACAAAUGUGGCGAUUUCCACACCCUUUUGCAGUGCCCCCUCCCCUUGUGUAAUGUGUAGUGAGUUAACAGGCUUGUAAGAACCAAGUGAACCAUUUUUUAGUCAAGUGAUCAUGAUCGUCUCUACAUCUAAUGGAUAAUAGUCUUGCGCAAACUUAUAAAGUACUGGAGGAAGCAGAAGUUACGAUUUUGGAGUACGCAAACUUGAUAUUAAAAAAUCUCAGGUAUUUUGGCUAUAUAAAGUGAGAAGAAAAGUUCAAUUGAUCAUUUUUUAUUACAAUUGCAAUAAUGAUAAUAUCAUGAUAAUUGUACUGUCAGGUAUUGAUAAUAGUCAUGUCACGUCAUGCCACUAACCAGGCACACAGACACAACACAUUUUCAUCUUUAUGUAUCUAGGAAUAAGGUAUUACAGGCAAGUUUUUGCACACCUCUCAUGUGCGAGUGGGCAUGGCCUCCUUCACAGUUAAGUUUUGGCUGAUUGUGCUCAAAUUUUGUAAGUACCUACACGUAAAGGGAUGUAGAUACAGUUAGUCGGGCACUCUUCUUAAUUCAGUUUUGUGCACCACUUCCUGCUUUCACCAUGCUGUGCCCACUCUGCUUUACAGUGGACAGCUGCUUCUGUGACACGCAUUAAUCUUGCGUUCAUUGAAACACUUAGUUUUGAGUGUUUUGACUCAGUUUUGUUGUAACGUUACCUGUUUAUAUUUUCAAUAACUUGUUUUGGGCUUCUCAUAUUUAUCUUUUUUCUUGGCUUAGCAGGUUUAGUGAAAAACAAGUUUUAGCUGACAUUUUACAUGUUAAGAUUACAUGAGUGCAUACAUUUUAUAAAAGCUAUUUCAAAGCUUACUGUAGCCAUGUGUAACAUGCAUAUGUCUUAGUGAAUGACUACUCAGCCUGCUGCUUGUUGCUCAAUGGUAAUAGUUUGAUUUGUUUUUGACAUCAAGUAAGAUUUGAUUUUUGUUUCUGAGAUUCCAAUGUUAUUUGUGGCAAAUAUUUUCCAAAAAUCCUCCAUCUAAAGCUUCAACUGAAUUCUAAAAUGCCUGCAUUUUCUACCAGAAACAUUAUCAUUGAUACCUCCUACAAUAUUUCAUUUUGUCACCAGUUACCUGGACUGGUGAAAAGUGAAAACUGAAAUUCAUUCAUGUCACCAUUAUCCUACGACCUACCCCUAAAUGGAAUUGAUCUUGUUUCACAAAUGAGUUGUACAUUGUACAAUGUCUAUCAGCUGAUGUCUAUUGUCUAUCUCUCUUUCAGCACAGAAGAUCCUCAGUCAUAGUUAACAAAAUGAAAAAAAAAUUAGCUGUGUUUUUAAGAUUCCAGUGGUGGCCAUCAACUGCUCAGGAAAGCAGCCCAGAAUCACUUCACAACAGGUUUCUAAAGGAUCAUCAUUCAUCAGCACAGAAGGGUGGGAAAGAGAAGGCUUUUCAAAUUCUGAAAAGCCAGAGCUGCAAAGGAGGUCAAAGAUGCAGUGCAGUUGGCCCACUCAGUAGAGUUUCACUAGUGGUUCUGAUGUGGACUGAAGAUUACACGCUGGAUUGAAGUGGCCGGUCUGGAGCAGCUGUAGUUCAUCAUUCUUGCUGAUUGUGGACGAGUAAGAGCCCGCGUUGGCCCCGAUCGGCGAUCGCUGGCCAAAGCCCACCACCAGUUUGGUGAUAGGCGUUGGCUGUGAUAUCUAGUGUCGCCUAUGUGUGAAAAGGACAAGUUGAUAACAAAACCUGUUGCGCCAUGUUACUAACCCGCGCCCGGGUGGCCCUCAGCCAACUUGGUGGGGGGGGGGGGGGGGGGAGGUGUAUUCGGCCUCACCAGGUUAUCUUGGAAUGUAGCAAAGCUGGAAAGACGCAGUAAAAUAAAUCUAUAGAUCGCUAUUUUUCUUCAGAAUCAUACAGGUCAUUUUUGAUCAGGUCAUCGCUGAGGUCACUGGAGGUCACCAAAAGUAAAAUGAUGACGAAUUUUGGCCCCCGAUUUUGACAACUUCACAAAUUGGUUCAUAAUUCGGGAACCAAAGAAGCUACAGCGCCGCGGAAAAGCGAAUUCGAUAGCUCUUUCGAAAAUCUUUCAGGUUCUCAGAUUUGAGCUAAAGUCAACUAGGGUUAAGCCUCCAAAGGGCAAAAACUGAACAAUCGGCUUGCUUCGCAAGUCGUCUUUUCUUUUUCUUUUUUUUUUUACUGAUACCAACCUUUUAUUACGUUGAUUUUACCGGCACUGCGUUUCUCUCGUCUUCUUGGCCUAACAAGGUCAGCUUAAUAAAUUUGACCUCAGGUCAAUGUCGCAGAGAAUGCCAUUUUGCAUGUCAUUGAUUCGUUACAUUGAAAUUGAGAUUAACAUCAGUAGCGGCGGAACACCUUCAAUUAAGGGGGCAUUGCCGACUUUUGGUCUCAUUCUUUCCAUGCAACGCCCAUAGGGCUAAUGUUAGAAUGCCAAAAUCAAAGGGGGCACGGUGCCCCGGUGCCCUCGGCCUGUUCCGCCGCCUAUGAUUAUGAUGCUUUUAGCGCUCUGGCCACGUUCCAUCUAAAAUCGAUGUACAAAAAUAAACUGUUGGGAGACGUUACAUGACCUGAGAUGACCUCAGGAGCAUACGAUAGAUCCCGAUGUUUGAGUGCUUUUGUUUCAAAAGCAGAACAUUUCGAGUUCCUCAUACUGACUGAAACUGGAGACGUCGCAAAGUUGACCUGACCCUAGGUCACCACCGAUAUCAAAAUUAAAGAUAUUCAAGAUGUUGGUACUGAUUCUCUCAUGCAAUAGCUCGAGUUUCAAACUUCUACUUCAUGGUGACCUGACCUGACCUUAGGUGACAUGGGGUUACUUUUUUCACAAUUGAUGCGAAUCGAUGCAUUAUACAUAAGCUAUACUAAGUUUCGUGUCGUUUUAUCUAUGCAAGCACAAAAUUGUCAGGUGUGGCCAAAAAACGCCCCCACGGCCCACCCACCUGGGGAACGUUAAAGCAGUGAUGUAUUUUUUCGGUGUAUUCCACGAUGCAUCGAUCGGUGUACUUGAUGAUGCAUUAUUUAUUGCUGCGUGUGUACGCUUUUCCUCUGUUCAGUGUGAUCUGUGAUAGGAAAACUACCGAUAUAUCUCCACGCGCAUGACUGAAAGAGCUGGCGUGAUCUAUAAUAUUGGGUGUCUGUUUUUGUUUGGCAUUUUAUAAAUAAUGAGUCAGC
rnacentral:lncRNA from 1 species